rnacentral:tRNA from 1 species
GGCUUAGCUCAGUAGGUAGAGCAACUGAUUUGUAAUCAGUGGGUCAACAGUUCGAUUCCGUUAGCCG